GGAAGGUUGGCCGAGUGGAAAGGCUCCGAUCUCGAAAGUCGGUGGGCUCGAAAGGGUGCAUGGGUUCGAAUCCCAUACCUUCCU
rnacentral:tRNA from 2 species